GUGCGGUUUUUAGAGAGGGGAUGGAUGUAAAAGAGCAACGGGUAAUGGAGAGUCCGCCAAGUUUCUAUUUCUCUCUCAAGAAUAGAUGAAGAACAACGAGUACACCAGAAAUCCGUCUUUGAGUUCGUCUGUCUCAAGGGUAUUCAUGACUUAAGGACUAGGAAUAAGCUCUGUUCGGUGAAUGGCUCUGUGAUUCUUCUUUUGAUUUUCAGUUGGAGGAGCCCGACAGUGAGUUGAAGUUUCGUUCUAGAGGGAGUGAAAAUUUUGGGGUUGUAUAUUUUAGGUUACUUGUAUUUGUAGAGAUAAAAAGAGCAAGAGAGAAAGUACUUUUGUUGGCUGAGAUGUUUCUUGACAAUUUUUUUUUUUCCAUUAUAUGUUGAUUUUAAGUCUUUCAUAUGUGGAGAGAGAAAAAGAAAGAAACACUGAAUAUUUUUUAUUUGUCUCUAAUUUUAAUAUGUUUUCAAAUGUA